GUGGGGAAUCUUGCGCAAUGGGCGAAAGCCUGACGCAGCCAUGCCGCGUGAAUGAUGAAGGUCUUAGGAUUGUAAAAUUCUUUCACCGGGGACGAUAAUGACGGUACCCGGAGAAGAAGCUCCGGCUAACUUCGUGCCAGCAGCCGCGGUAAUACGAAGGGGGCUAGCGUUGCUCGGAAUUACUGGGCGUAAAGGGCGCGUAGGCGGACAGCUUAGUCAGAGGUGAAAGCCCAGGGCUCAACCUUGGAAUUGCCUUUGAUACUGGCUGGCUUGAGUUUGGGAGAGGUGAGUGGAACUCCGAGUGUAGAGGUGAAAUUCGUAGAUAUUCGGAAGAACACCAGUGGCGAAGGCGACUCACUGGCCCAAUACUGACGCUGAGGCGCGAAAGCGUGGGGAGCAAACAGGAUUAGAAACCCUUGUAGUCC
rnacentral:rRNA from 1 species